rnacentral:rRNA from 1 species
UACGUAGGGUGCGAGCGUUAAUCGGAAUUACUGGGCGUAAAGUGUGCGCAGGCGGCUGAGCAAGGUCGAGUGUGAAAUCCCCGGGCUUAACUUGGGAAUUGCGCUCGAAACUACGGGGCUCGAGUGUGGCAGAGGGGGGUGGAAUUCCACGUGUAGCGGUGAAAUGCGUAGAGAUGUGGAGGAACACCAAUGGCGAAGGCAGCCCCCUGGGCCACACUGACGCUCAUGCACGAAAGCGUGGGGAGCAAACAGG